AUAAAAAAAAAAGAUAUCUUUUUAUUUAAAUUAUAAAAUAUAAAGUACAGUAAUGGAAAAAUAUAUAAAUAAAGUAUUUAUUAGUACCUUUAGUAUAAUAGAUUUACAAGUUUUAAAAUAAUUUAUAUUUUCGAAAUCUAAAUGAGUUGUUUAUUUAUUGUUAAGAACUAAUAUUUAAGAGUUUAAAUUCUUUAUAUAAAUAAAUUUACAGAAGCUAUAAACUAAUCGCAUUAGAUUCUAACUAAUUUUUAUUAUGUUAUUUAUAUAAUUUUAUAUUAUAUAAUUAGAAAAUAAAUUUAUUAAUUAAAUAAAUUAUUUUAAUUAUUUUAAUUUAUAGGCUUAGCUAUAAAUUAAAUUCUAUUAUAUAUGCAAAGUUAAUAGUAGGCUUAAAAACAGCCAACUAAUAUUACUUUAUUGUAUAAAAAAAAUAAAAAAAAAUAAAUAUUAAUGACUAAAAAAAUUAUUUAUUUAUAUUAUAUUAAUGUUAUUAUGUAAAUAUGAGUAAUAUACAAAUUUAUAUAAAGGAACUCGGCAAAUAUAAAAUUCGACUGUUUAACAAAAACAUUGCUAUAUGAUUAUAAAAUAUAUAGUAAGCCCUGCUCAAUGAAACAUUAAAUUGCUGCAGUAUUAUAACUGUACUAAGGUAGCAUAAUAAUUUGUUUAUUAAUUGUAAGCUAGAAUGAAAGGGUACACGAAAUUUUAACUGUCUUUAUAUUUGAUAUUAAAAUUAUCCUUUAGGUGAAGAGACCUAAAUAAAGUUAUAGGACAAGAAGACCCUAAAAGCUUUAUUAACUAAUAAUUUUAUUAUGACUUUAAUUUGAUUGGGGCGAUCAUUUAUAGUUAGACAUUUUAAUUAUAUACGACUGAUGAGUCUAAAAAGAUCCUUUUUUGAUCAUUAAUUAAGUUACUUUAGGGGUAACAGGCUAAUAUAAAAUUAAAGACCAUAUUAAAUUUUAUGAUUGGCACCUCGAUGUUGACUUAGAAUUACUAUUUAGUGCAACAAAUAAAUAAGUAGGUUUGUUCAACCUUUAAUGUUCUACAUGAGUUGAGUUCAGACCGGCGUAAGCCAGGUUAGAUUCUAUCCAUAAUUUAUUAAAUUAAUAUUAGUAGUACGAGAGGACCUUAAUAUUACUAUUAUAGUUAUUAAUUAAUUAACAUU
rnacentral:rRNA from 1 species